UACGAAGGGGGCUAGCGUUGUUCGGAAUCACUGGGCGUAAAGCGCGCGUAGGCGGAUUGUCAAGUCAGAGGUGAAAGCCCAGGGCCUAACCUUGGAACUGCCUUUGAAACUGGCAAUCUGGAGACUCGGAGGGGAUAGCGGAAUUCCAAAUGUAGGGGUGAAAUCCGUAGAUAUUUGGAGGAACACCGGUGGCGAAGGCGGCUAUCUGGACGAGUACUGACGCUGAGGCGCGAAAGCGUGGGGAGCAAACAGG
rnacentral:rRNA from 1 species